AGUGAACGCUGGCGGUAGGCCUAACACAUGCAAGUCGAACGGCAGCACAGUAAGAGCUUGCUCUUACGGGUGGCGAGUGGCGGACGGGUGAGGAAUACAUCGGAAUCUACUUUUUCGUGGGGGAUAACGUAGGGAAACUUACGCUAAUACCGCAUACCACCUACGGGUGAAAGCAGGGGAUCUUCGGACCUUGCGCGAUUGAAUGAGCCGAUGUCGGAUUAGCUAGUUGGCGGGGUAGAGGCCCACCAAGUCGACGAUCCGUAGCUGGUCUGAGAGGAUGAUCAGCCACACUGGAACUGAGACACGGUCCAGACUCCUACGGGACGCAGCAGUGGGGAAUAUUGGACAGUGGGCGGAAGCCUGAUCCAGUCAUACCGCGUGGGUGAAGAAGGCCUUCGGGUUGUAAAGCACUUCUGUUGGGAAAGAAAAGCAGCAGGUUAAUACCUCGCUGUUCUGACGGUACCCAAAGAAUAAGCACCGGCUAACUUCGUG
rnacentral:rRNA from 1 species